AGUGAACGCUGGCGGUAGGCCUAACACAUGCAAGUCGAACGGCAGCACAGCAAGAGCUUGCUCUUACGGGUGGCGAGUGGCGGACGGGUGAGGAAUACAUCGGAAUCUACUUUUUCGUGGGCGAUAACGUAGGGAAACUUACGCUAAUACCGCAUACGACCUACGGGUGAAAGCAGGGGAUCUUCGGACCUUGCGCGAUUGAAUGAGCCGAUGUCGGAUUAGCUAGUUGGCGGGGUAAAGGCCCACCAAGGCGACGAUCCGUAGCUGGUCUGAGAGGAUGAUCAGCCACACUGGAACUGAGACACGGUCCAGACUCCUACGGGAGGCAGCAGUGGGGAAUAUUGGACAAUGGGCGCAAGCCUGAUCCAGCCAUACCGCGUGGGUGAAGAAGGCCUUCGGGUUGUAAAGCCCUUUUGUUGGGAAAGAAAAGCAGCAGGUUAAUACCCCGCUGUUCUGACGGUACCCAAAGAAUAAGCACCGGCUAACUUCGUG
rnacentral:rRNA from 1 species